rnacentral:rRNA from 1 species
CACACCCCGGUGAAUACGUUCCCGGGCCUUGUACACACCGCCCGUCACGCCAUGAAAGCCGGGAGUACCCGAAGUCGCUUAAUAAGCGCCGAAGGUAAAACCGGUGAUUGGGGCG